rnacentral:tRNA from 1 species
UGGCUCGGUAGCUCAGUGGGUAGAGCAGCCUUCCCCGGAAGGUCAGUCGCAGGUUCGAGUCCUGCCCAGCCAU